CACCGUAUUCUGUACGGUAUCCUUAUCUGAAUACAUAGGAUAAGAGAAGCGAACCCGGAGAACUGAACCAUCUAAGUACCCGGAGGAAAAGAAAUCAACCGAGAUUCCGCAAGUAGUGGCGAGCGAACGCGGAGGAGCCUGUAUACGAUAGCCGUUGGGAUAGAAGAACAAGCUGGAAAGCUUGGCCAUAGUGGGUGAUAGCCCCGUAUUCGAAAUCCGAAUGGUGGUACUAGGUAUACGACAAGUAGGGCGGGACACGAGAAAUCCUGUCUGAAGAUGGGGGGACCAUCCUCCAAGGCUAAAUACUCAUCAUCGACCGAUAGUGAACCAGUACCGUGAGGGAAAGGCGAAAAGAACCCCGGGAGGGGAGUGAAAGAGAACCUGAAACCUGAUGCAUACAAACAGUGGGAGCCCUAAGGGGUGACUGCGUACCUUUUGUAUAAUGGGUCAACGACUUACAUUCAGUAGCGAGCUUAACCGGAUAGGGGAGGCGUAGGGAAACCGAGUCUUAAUAGGGCGACAAGUUGCUGGGUGUAGACCCGAAACCGAGUGAUCUAUCCAUGGCCAGGAUGAAGGUGCCGUAACAGGUACUGGAGGUCCGAACCCACGCAUGUUGCAAAAUGCGGGGAUGAGCUGUGGAUAGGGGUGAAAGGCUAAACAAACUCGGAGAUAGCUGGUUCUCCCCGAAAACUAUUUAGGUAGUGCCUCAUGUAUCACUUCCGGGGGUAAAGCACUGUUAUGGCUAGGGGGUCAUUGCGACUUACCAACCCAUGGCAAACUAAGAAUACCGGAAAGUGCAAUCAUGGGAGACAGACAGCGGGUGCUAACGUCCGUUGUCGAGAGGGAAACAACCCAGACCGCCAGCUAAGGUCCCCAAUGACAGAUUAAGUGGUAAACGAAGUGGGAAGGCCCAGACAGCCAGGAUGUUGGCUUAGAAGCAGCCAUCAUUUAAAGAAAGCGUAAUAGCUCACUGGUCGAGUCGUCCUGCGCGGAAGAUGUAACGGGGCUCAAAUCUGUAACCGAAGCUGCGGAUGCGCUUGGCGCAUGGUAGGGGAGCGUUCUGUAGGCCGUAGAAGGUGUGUUGUAAAGCAUGCUGGAGGUAUCAGAAGUGCGAAUGUUGACAUGAGUAGCGAUAAAGCGGGUGAAAAGCCCGCUCGCCGAAAGCCCAAGGUUUCCUACGCAACGUUCAUCGGCGUAGGGUGAGUCGGCCCCUAAGGCGAGGCAGAAAUGCGUAGUCGAUGGGAAACGGGUUAAUAUUCCCGUACUUUGAUUCAAUGCGAUGUGGGGACGGAGAAGGUUAGGUUAGCAAACUGUUGGAAUAGUUUGUUUAAGCCGGUAGGUGGAGUGUUUAGGCAAAUCCGGACGCUCAUAACACCGAGAAGUGACGACGAGUAUCUACGGAUACGAAGUAACCGAUACCACGCUUCCAGGAAAAGCCACUAAGCUUCAGUUGGAUCAGAACCGUACCGCAAACCGACACAGGUGGGCAGGAUGAGAAUUCUAAGGCGCUUGAGAGAACUCGGGAGAAGGAACUCGGCAAAUUGAUACCGUAACUUCGGGAGAAGGUAUGCCCUUCGAUGUUAAGCCCUUGCGGUGUAAGCAUUGGAGGGUCGCAGAGAAUCGGUGGCUGCGACUGUUUAUUAAAAACACAGCACUCUGCUAACACGAAAGUGGACGUAUAGGGUGUGACGCCUGCCCGGUGCUGGAAGGUUAAUUGAAGAUGUUAGCGCAUCGGAUCGAAGCCCCAGUAAACGGCGGCCGUAACUAUAACGGUCCUAAGGUAGCGAAAUUCCUUGUCGGGUAAGUUCCGACCCGCACGAAUGGCGUAACGAUGGCCACACUGUCUCCUCUCGAGACUCAGCGAAGUUGAAAUGGUUGUGAAGAUGCAAUCUCCCCGCUGCUAGACGGAAAGACCCCGUGAACCUUUACUGUAGCUUUGCAUUGGACUUUGAAGGCACUUGUGUAGGAUAGGUGGGAGGCUGAGAAGCAGAGACGCUAGUCUUUGCGGAGCCGUCCUUGAAAUACCACCCUGGUGUCUUUGAGGUUCUAACCCAGGUCCGUGAUCCGGAUCGGGGACCGUGCAUGGUAGGC
rnacentral:rRNA from 1 species